CUUGGCCAUUUGUGCCUUUAUCAGAUGACUUACUGUUCCAAGUAAUAACAGGAGUUGCUGUUUGGUUUCUUUUCCCUAUGAAUGAUACAUAAGGCUUGCUCACAGGCACACGCACUUUCUCUCUGCAAAUAUUGCAUACAAACAAAAGGGUAAGUAAAGUUUUUAUUGAAAACAUCAACCAAAUCAAAAAACAAAAGAUUGUGCUUUCAAAAGAAGAAUAGGCAUUGAAUAGAAACACGGCUUUUGAUUAGAACUGAAUUAUAAUGACACAGUGGUGAUGAAAUCUAACUUUCAAAAUGACAAAACUGCAAUUUUUAGAAGAAAAACACCACCAAAGCUAGCAUGUACAUUAUGCAAGUGAUGACUGACCUGUAAACUCCUGGAUAAAUGUAAAUUUUCACCCUAUGUUUGUUAUUAUCAGGAACCAUAUCCACGGCACCUUGAACAGUUUUGGAGUGCCCCCAACCAUAUUUGUUAACAAUAAUAACUCUAACAUCAUCAUGACGCUUC
rnacentral:lncRNA from 1 species